AUAGCCUGCUAGGCUCCACUGUCAAUGCGGAUUCUCCAGUGUUAAGUCCUAGUGACGACAGUUUUGCUGAUGUGGGGGCUACAAUGUAAACUGCCGAAGGCAAGAGUGCAUCUCUGAAAACAGGACACUUCAAGGUUCUCCGUUGUUUUUAUCUCAUGCCCCAGGUUCUGCCCACCACCCAAAAAGAUGGUAUAUAGAUUCCUGGGAGAAAGCUCUGAAUUGGCUGAAUUUAAGUCACCUGACACGUGCUGCGUUAUCUGGGAAAGGAAUGGAAAAUCUACUGAGAGGCAGCCAUUUCUUGAAGGACCACACAACCUGAGGGAUUCUGCAAAAGGGAGAUAAGAAUGCAAAUAGGGGUAAUGUCAGGAUGUGGGAGGGGAGAAUGAGAGGUUAUUGAUUAGUGGGUACAGAGUUUCCAUUUUGCAAGAUGGAAGAAUUCUGAAGCUAGAUGGUGGUGAUGGUUACCCAUCAAUGUGAAUGUAGAUAAUGCCUCUUAACUGUGUGCUUAAAUAC
ensembl:lncRNA